UUUGAUCUGAAAUCAGGCGGGAUUACCCG
rnacentral:rRNA from 1 species